CCAAUCAGCUCGCGCUGGCCUCGUGUGACGUCACGCGCCAGCUGGUUCUCGGAACAAAAGCGGUCUGCGCGCUCCGCUCCUCCCCGCCGGAUACCACCGAGAAAACGCGGACGCGUUCGUUUUUAGCGUCAAAGUUAGUUUUAUAGGAAUGUGCGGCGUGACAUACGCCCGCAUACAGUGUAAAAGUGUAAAUCCCGGCGAGUGUUUGUGUCCGCGCUGAAGCUCCGAGGGAUUCUCGCGAGAGAGUUCGAGGCCUGAUAAAAGUCGUCCGGCUGACGUGGAUCCUCCUUCAUUCCUGCAGUGAUCCGGAAGUGCUGCCGACUCCACUCUGGACUUCUUCUUGUGCAUGGGACCGUGUCAUCUCUUCUGAUUGGCUGCCGCUCACCGGUCCGUCCUGCUCAUGAGGUAACCCCGGCUGUGGUUGUUG
ensembl:lncRNA